rnacentral:rRNA from 1 species
CCGUGAGGGAAAGGCGAAAAGAACCCCGGCGAGGGGAGUGAAAAAGAACCUGAAACCGUGUACGUACAAGCAGUGGGAGCACGCUUAGGCGUGUGACUGCGUACCUUUUGUAUAAUGGGUCAGCGACUUAUAUUCUGUAGCAAGGUUAACCGAAUAGGGGAGCCGAAGGGAAACCGAGUCUUAACUGGGCGUUAAGUUGCAGGGUAUAGACCCGAAACCCGGUGAUCUAGCCAUGGGCAGGUUGAAGGUUGGGUAACACUAACUGGAGGACCGAACCGACUAAUGUUGAAAAAUUAGCGGAUGACUUGUGGCUGGGGGUGAAAGGCCAAUCAAACCGGGAGAUAGCUGGUUCUCCCCGAAAGCUAUUUAGGUAGCGCCUCGUGAAUUCAUCUCCGGGGGUAGAGCACUGUUUCGGCAAGGGGGUCAUCCCGACUUACCAACCCGAUGCAAACUGCGAAUACCGGAGAAUGUUAUCACGGGAGACACACGGCGGGUGCUAACGUCCGUCGUGAAGAGGGAAACAACCCAGACCGCCAGCUAAGGUCCCAAAGUCAUGGUUAAGUGGGAAACGAUGUGGGAAGGCCCAGACAGCCAGGAUGUUGGCUUAGAAGCAGCCAUCAUUUAAAGAAAGCGUAAUAGCUCACUGGUCGAGUCGGCCUGCGCGGAAGAUGUAACGGGGCUAAACCAUGCACCGAAGCUGCGGCAGCGACGCUUAUGCGUUGUUGGGUAGGGGAGCGUUCUGUAAGCCUGUGAAGGUGUGCUGUGAGGCAUGCUGGAGGUAUCAGAAGUGCGAAUGCUGACAUAAGUAACGAUAAAGCGGGUGAAAAGCCCGCUCGCCGGAAGACCAAGGGUUCCUGUCCAACGUUAAUCGGGGCAGGGUGAGUCGACCCCUAAGGCGAGGCCGAAAGGCGUAGUCGAUGGGAAACAGGUUAAUAUUCCUGUACUUGGUGUUACUGCGAAGGGGGGACGGAGAAGGCUAUGUUGGCCGGGCGACGGUUGUCCCGGUUUAAGCGUGUAGGCUGGUUUUCCAGGCAAAUCCGGAAAAUCAAGGCUGAGGCGUGAUGACGAGGCACUACGGUGCUGAAGCAACAAAUGCCCUGCUUCCAGGAAAAGCCUCUAAGCAUCAGGUAACAUCAAAUCGUACCCCAAACCGACACAGGUGGUCAGGUAGAGAAUACCAAGGCGCUUGAGAGAACUCGGGUGAAGGAACUAGGCAAAAUGGUGCCGUAACUUCGGGAGAAGGCACGCUGAUAUGUAGGUGAAGCGACUUGCUCGUGGAGCUGAAAUCAGUCGAAGAUACCAGCUGGCUGCAACUGUUUAUUAAAAACACAGCACUGUGCAAACACGAAAGUGGACGUAUACGGUGUGACGCCUGCCCGGUGCCGGAAGGUUAAUUGAUGGGGUCAGCGCAAGCGAAGCUCUUGAUCGAAGCCCCGGUAAACGGCGGCCGUAACUAUAACGGUCCUAAGGUAGCGAAAUUCCUUGUCGGGUAAGUUCCGACCUGCACGAAUGGCGUAAUGAUGGCCAGGCUGUCUCCACCCGAGACUCAGUGAAAUUGAACUCGCUGUGAAGAUGCAGUGUACCCGCGGCAAGACGGAAAGACCCCGUGAACCUUUACUAUAGCUUGACACUGAACAUUGAGCCUUGAUGUGUAGGAUAGGUGGGAGGCUUAGAAGUGUGGACGCCAGUCUGCAUGGAGCCGACCUUGAAAUACCACCCUUUAAUGUUUGAUGUUCUAACGUUGACCCGUAAUCCGGGUUGCGGACAGUGUCUGGUGGGUAGUUUGACUGGGGCGGUCUCCUCCUAAAGAGUAACGGAGGAGCACGAAGGUUGGCUAAUCCUGGUCGGACAUCAGGAGGUUAGUGCAAUGGCAUAAGCCAGCUUGACUGCGAGCGUGACGGCGCGAGCAGGUGCGAAAGCAGGUCAUAGUGAUCCGGUGGUUCUGAAUGGAAGGGCCAUCGCUCAACGGAUAAAAGGUACUCCGGGGAUAACAGGCUGAUACCGCCCAAGAGUUCAUAUCGACGGCGGUGUUUGGCACCUCGAUGUCGGCUCAUCACAUCCUGGGGCUGAAGUAGGUCCCAAGGGUAUGGCUGUUCGCCAUUUAAAGUGGUACGCGAGCUGGGUUUAGAACGUCGUGAGACAGUUCGGUCCCUAUCUGCCGUGGGCGCUGGAGAACUGAGGGGGGCUGCUCCUAGUACGAGAGGACCGGAGUGGACGCAUCACUGGUGUUCGGGUUGUCAUGCCAAUGGCACUGCCCGGUAGCUAAAUGCGGAAGAGAUAAGUGCUGAAAGCAUCUAAGCACGAAACUUGCC